GGAAAGUCCGAAGGUGAUUAUAAUGCAUAAAGUGCAUUAAAGAAAGGUCCGCGAGAGCACCAGUGCAAAAAUCUGCACUGGAGCAGAAAUGCUCUCGGGGACCGGUCCCUGGCAGGGAGGGACCGGUCCCAUCAGGCUGGGCUGCGGGGGUCUCUGAUGAGACCGGUCCCUGGCAGUGAGGGACCGGUUCCCGAACGUUGGCCCAGCGAAAACAGCCGAAAUUUGGCUAAGUCCCGAAAAUCUACCUCUCGGGAACUGGUCUCUCGGACAAGGACCGGUCUCCCAGGGACCGGUCUCUCAGGCAAGGACCG
rnacentral:lncRNA from 1 species